GACGUAGGGUGCAAGCGUUGUCCGGAUUUACUGGGCGUAAAGAGCGCGUAGGCGGCUUGUUAAGUGUAGAGUGAAAUCUCCAGGGCUCAACCCGGAAACUGCUCUGCAUACUGGCAAGCUUGAGGGUCACAGAGGCAACUGGAAUUCCUGGUGAAGCGGUGAAAUGCGUAGAUAUCAGGAGGAACUACCAUGGCGAAGGCAGGUUGCUGGGUGACAUCUGACGCUGAGGCGCGAAAGCGUGGGUAGCAAACAGG
rnacentral:rRNA from 1 species